rnacentral:lncRNA from 1 species
CUUCCUUACCUCCGUUGUGGAGUAGUAGACUGAUUUCAUCUUCACAGUCCUGGUCAAUCACCCCAGAUAACACUGUAACUCCUUUCUUAGCCUGUUGCCUUAAAGGUAAGAGGAGCCCAAAGUUUCCAGGUGGCAAUCUUAACUUCCAGCUUAACAGAAUCAUUGUUGUGUCUCCUGGUGGCAGCAUUCUCCUUCUGGAACUAAGAACUCUAGGCCAGCAGAAUGUAAUGUCAUGGAAACAGGAAGCAAAAAUUUUGCUAGUAGAUCACUGGGGAUGAUGGUGAGUGGUGUCACUUCCACUUCCAUCCCUUUAAUCCUGGAGCCGUGAGUCCUGGCUAUGGGAGAAACAGUGCCAUAUAUGGGAUGCUGAUUCAGAGCAUACACAGUCUUCUGGAGAACUUUACCCCAGGUCUGCAAAGUAUUGUUACCUAGUUGGCAUUGUAAUUGUGACUUCAAAAGGCCGUUCCAUCAUUUUAUCAAUUCAGCUGCUUCAGGAUGACAGAUAACAUGGAAAGGACUCCAGCUUAUGAAAGAAAACGCAAAGAAAGAAGAGACCAUUCCACUGAUUUUGGGAACAAGACAAUAUAAUGAUCACAUCUAUGCUUUACAAAGAAAACUCUGCAUCUAUAUGAAGAAUAAAUGAUGGAGCUAGGCUGGAGAAGUACACUACUUGAAGUCAACAAGAAAGCAGCUGGUGAAAGAUGAUGAGACACUUAUUAGAGGAAGAAGCAGUGAGGAUGGAAGGGAGAGAAAUAUACACUAGAGGCACUGGAAAGUGCAUCACCCACCUUAUUGAGUCAUCAGAUAUGAUAUUCUGAAUUUC